AUUGAACGCUGGCGGAAUGCUUUACACAUGCAAGUCGAGCGGCAGCACGGGAGCAAUCCUGGUGGCGAGUGGCGAACGGGUGAGUAAUAUAUCGGAACGUGCCCAGUCGUGGGGGAUAACGUAGCGAAAGCUACGCUAAUACCGCAUACGAUCUAUGGAUGAAAGCGGGGGAUCGCAAGACCUCGCGCGAUUGGAGCGGCCGAUAUCAGAUUAGGUAGUUGGUGAGGUAAAGGCUCACCAAGCCGACGAUCUGUAGCUGGUCUGAGAGGACGACCAGCCACACUGGGACUGAGACACGGCCCAGACUCCUACGGGAGGCAGCAGUGGGGAAUUUUUGGACAAUGGGCGCAAGCCCUGAUCCAGCAAUGCCGCGUGCAGGAUGAAGG
rnacentral:rRNA from 1 species